rnacentral:rRNA from 1 species
CAGUCGCCGCGGUAAUACGAGGGGGGCAAGCGUUGUUCGGAAUUAUUGGGCGUAAAGGGUGCGUAGGCGGUUUGACAAGUCUUGUGUGAAAUCUCUGGGCUCAACCCAGAGUCUGCACGGGAAACUGUCGGGCUAGAGGAUGGGAGAGGUGAGUGGAAUUUCCGGUGUAGCGGUGAAAUGCGUAGAUAUCGGAAGGAACACCUGAGGCGAAAGCGGCUCACUGGACCAUAACUGACGCUGAGGCGCGAAAGCUAGGGGAGCAAACAGGAUUAGAUACCCCCGUAGUCCCUGUCUCUUAUAC